rnacentral:rRNA from 1 species
GGCCUACCAUGGUGGUAACGGGUAACGGGGUGUUAGGGCACGACACCGGAGAGGGAGCCUGAGAAACGGCUACCACAUCCAAGGAUGGCAGCAGGCGCGCAAAUUACCCAAUCCCGACACGGGGAGGUAGUGACAAUAAAUAACAAUACGGGGUUCUUUCGGAUCUCGUAAUUGGAAUGAGUACAAUUUAAAUCUCUUAACGAGGAACAAUUGGAGGGCAAGUCUGGUGCCAGCAGCCGCGGUAAUUCCAGCUCCAAUAGCGUAUAUUAAAGUUGUUGCAGUUAAAAAGCUCGUAGUUGAAUUUCGGGGUUAGCAGGUCGGUCGUGCCAUCGGUAUGAACUGGCCUCGCUGAUCCCUCCCUCUUGACGAACUGUGAUGCCAUUAAUUUGGUGUCGCAGGGAAUCAGGACUGUUACUUUGAAAAAAUUAGAGUGUUUAAAGCAGGCUCACGCUUGAAUACAUUAGCAUGGAAUAAUGAAAUAGGACGCUUGAUCCUAUUUUGUUGGUUUCUAGGAUUGACGUAAUGAUUAAUAGGGAUAGUUGGGGGCAUUAGUAUUCAAUUGUCAGAGGUGAAAUUCUUGGAUUUAUUGAAGACUAACUACUGCGAAAGCAUUUGCCAAGGAUGUUUUCAUUAAUCAAGAACGAAAGUUAGGGGAUCGAAGACGAUCAGAUACCGUCGUAGUCUUAACCAUAAACUAUGCCGACUAGGGAUCGGAUGAUGUUAAUUUUUUAAUGACUCAUUCGGCGCCUUACG